GACGAGCAAAACAUCCAAGAUGGCGGCGAAACGUCGAAUUUCUCGAAAACGAAUCAUAACCGCGCGAAAACACCUACAGCACACCAUGGGUAUUGGGAUGACUUUUUUCGAUUGGAAGAAAAAUAAGGUUACUCUCUGACUGCAUGAUCGCACAAAGGAUCCCUCGAUGCUUAAAAUUCAAGAUGGCGCCCGAUUACCGGAACGGAGCGGAUUUUCCGCGAUAAAACACCGAGUACCGCCUGCUAGCAGGCUAACCAUUGCGUGAUCUCACCGUGACAUGUUCUAACGUGACGUGUCUGACCGGGACGUGUCUCCCCUCCAGAGAGGAGCCAAAAAGAGGCCGUACGUGGCGUCCAUCUUCGUGGCCGUCAUCUCCAUGCUCUUCAUUCUGAUCGGGAACCUGAACGCGCUGGCCCCCAUGCCCUUCCUCGUUACCUACGCCGCUAUCGAAUACGCCUACUUUAAUCUCGCCUUGAGCUACAAUCUCGAGCAGAAACAAAAGCUACUCGACGCCGUGCGCCCAUGUAGCAUGAUUUUCGUUCCUAUCUGAUUUUGUUCCGGCCGGAACAAAAUCUAAAGUCCUAGAAAAACAGUUCCGGCCGGAACGAAUCAUCUGAAUUUUCGAGAUUUUGUUCCCGGGAAUUCAGUUCCGCACCCGCGAUUUUAGUUCCUACUCUAACAACCACCAAACCCUGACCUCCAAACUUGUAAACAAUAAUACUUAUGGUGCGACAAACACGACCCGUCAAUCAAAAUACUUGACGCAUCAAUAACGUCACCUGGUAGAAAGAAAGACAGACUUACGAGUUCUCACGUUAAAAUAUAGUGAGAUUUUUAUUUUGACAGCUUUCUAAGGUAACUCAAACUUAACUCAAACUUAACUCAAACUCAAUUCAAACUCAACUCGAUGAUUAGUCUAUCUAAAAAAAAGCAUCUAAGGCAUCACUGACAGUGCUAUAAAA